CUGUUUUGCACAUAAGUUCAUUUGUAUCUUUUUAUUUUUGAUUCCACAUAUAAGCGAUACCAUAUGGUAUUUGUCUUUCUCUGUCUUACUUCACUCAGUAUGAUCAUCUCUGGGUCCAUCCAUGUUGCUGCCAAUGGCACUAUUUCAUUCUUUUUCAUGGCCGAGUAAUAUUCCAUUGUAUACAUGAACCACCUCUUCUUUACCCAUUCCUCUCUCGGUGGUGGUUUAGUUUGCUUCCACGUCUUGGCUGUUGUAAACAGCAACAGCGCAGAUUUUUU